rnacentral:tRNA from 1 species
GGGAAAGUGGCUCAGUGGCAGAGCGCUUGCCUUGCAUGCAUAAGGCCCUAGGUUCAAUUCCUCAGCACCA